rnacentral:rRNA from 1 species
GGCAUGGCGGCUGCUACACAUGCAAGUCGAACGGUAACAGAUUCUUCGGAUGCUGACGAGUGGCGGACGGGUGAGUAAUGCGUAGGAAUCUGUCUUUUGGUGGGGGACAACCCAGGGAAACUUGGGCUAAUACCGCAUGAGCCCUGAGGGGGAAAGCGGGGGAUCUUCGGACCUCGCGCUAAGAGAGGAGCCUACGUCCGAUUAGCUAGUUGGCGGGGUAAAGGCCCACCAAGGCGACGAUCGGUAGCUGGUCUGAGAGGACGACCAGCCACACUGGGACUGAGACACGGCCCAGACUCCUACGGGAGGCAGCAGUGGGGAAUUUUUCGCAAUGGGGGCAACCCUGACGAAGCAAUGCCGCGUGGAUGAAGAAGGCCUUCGGGUUGUAAAGUCCUUUCGUGGAGGACGAAAAGGUGGGUUCUAAUACAAUCUGCUAUUGACGUGAAUCCAAGAAGAAGCACCGGCUAACUCCGUGCCAGCAGCCGCGGUAAUACGGGGGGUGCAAGCGUUAAUCGGAAUCACUGGGCGUAAAGGGUGCGUAGGCGGUACGUUAGGUCUGUCGUGAAAUCCCCGGGCUCAACCUGGGAAUGGCGGUGGAAACCGGUGUACUAGAGUAUGGGAGAGGGUGGUGGAAUUCCAGGUGUAGCUGUGAAAUGCGUAGAGAUCUAGAGGAACGUUAAUGGCGAGCGCUGCCACGUGGACAAAGACUUACGGGGGCGCACGAGGGCGUGCGGGCAACGGGAUUAGAUACCCGGGUAAACCACCCCUAACCGAUGAAGACGAGUGUUGGGUGCGAACGGUACUGGGGUAGGAGCUAACUCAAAAGUGUUCCGCCUGGGACACUCCGGCGCAAG